CCUACGGGAGGCAGCAGUCGAGAAUCAUUCACAAUGGGGGAAACCCUGAUGGUGCGACGCCGCGUGGGGGAAUGAAGGUCUUCGGAUUGUAAACCCCUGUCAUGUGGGAGCAAAUUAAAAAGAUAGUACCACAAGAGGAAGAGACGGCUAACUCUGUGCCAGCAGCCGCGGUAAUACAGAGGUCUCAAGCGUUGUUCGGAAUCACUGGGCGUAAAGCGUGCGUAGGCUGUUUCGUAAGUCGUGUGUGAAAGGCGCGGGCUCAACCCGCGGACGGCACAUGAUACUGCGAGACGAGAGGAAUGGAGGGGGAACCGGAAUUCUCGGUGUAGCAGUGAAAUGCGUAGAGAUCGAGAGGAACACUCGUGGCGAAGGCGGGUUCCUGGACAUUAACUGACGCGGAGGCACGAAGGCCAGGGGAGCGAAAGGGAUUAGAUACCCGGGUAGUC
rnacentral:rRNA from 1 species